AGGGGCUAUGACACUAAUAGAGUAAAUUCACAGACUCCGCCCCAGCAUCACAGGCUCCGAAUGAAGCUGAAGGGAAGCAAUUUCAGAACAUUUAGCUCUCCAUUUUUUCGGGUUGUUUGCCACUCCUGGAUAUGCUUGCAAAGGUGGAAUACGGGGGAGUGCAGAAGUAUGUCAAAGUUCCAGAAAGUGAUGAAUGCUUUCAUUUCCACCAGUUUCUUAAAGAUGUUAUGGACAAGUUCAGCUUGCAGCCUCAAUUCUUCACCGAAGGUGUACUCAUCCUCACUGAUACCUCUGACACUGAAGUUGACGCAGACAUUUUUGAUGAGCUGGUAAAGUCUGGAGUUCGAGCUUUCAAAGUUGGAUAUAGAAUGCAGACAGAAACAGGUACAGUAGAUCCAUAAUAAUUUAGAGGAGUACAUUUCUUCAUGAUCUUCAAAGUUUACAUGAAUAUUAGCCAGAUUUAACAACCUUUCAGAUUCCAAUUUUCUUCUUUGAAAAACUUUAAAUUGUUUUUACAUGUUGAGUGCAUAUUACAUGCUGUUAUCAGAUAU
ensembl:lncRNA